CCUCCUUGUUACAAGGACAUCCGUUUCUGGAUCAAGGAAUCAUUUACUGAAAACAUUCUGUGUGAACUUGUUAGAGGAAUUGCUGGGGAUAUUGUAGAAGAGACUGACACAGCCUCAGUGUUGUUAAAAGCUAUUGGGUAUAUCAGAUUCCUUCAAAGUCAAAUUGAGCUUUGGUUUGUGGGUUCUUUAUGCAUCUGCAGAGCUUCAGAGAUUUACACAAACAUGUAAAAGUGACGGUUCUCUUGAUUUUUUGGUGGUUGGUGAUUGGGGAAGAAGAGGUGAAUAUAACCAAUCUGAAGUUGCUUACCAGCUACUGCAUGAAAACUGCUUGAAGAGGAAAGUACCUACUAGUGAACAGGGCAGUGAUAAAAACAAUGGAGCUCAUAAUGGAUGAUCACACUACUCAUGAAAUUUGAUAUUUUGUAACUAAGUAUAUAGAAGUAGAUAUGUGACACUUGUUGGAAUGACAAUUCUUAUUUACUUGUUAUGACUAUUUUUUGGUACUUUGUCAU